rnacentral:rRNA from 1 species
UGGGCUUGACAUCCCUGGAAUCCCUCCGAAAGGAGGGAGUGCCCCUUCGGGGGAACCAGGAGAC